GACGAACGCUGGCGGCGUGCUUAACACAUGCAAGUCGAGCGGUAAGGCCCUUUCGGGGGUACGACGAGCGGCGAACGGGUAGAGUAACACGUGGGUGACCUGCCCUCAGCUCUGGGAGUAAGCCUGGGAAACCGGGUCUAAUACUGGAUAUGACUCCAUGACGCAUGUUGUGGGGUGGAAAGCCUUGUGCGGCUGAGGAUGGGCCCGCGGCCUAUCAGCUUGUUGGUGGGGUGAGGCCUACCAAGGCGACGACGGGUAGCCGGCCUGAGAGGGCGACCGGCCACACUGGGACUGAGACACGGCCCAGACUCCUACGGGA
rnacentral:rRNA from 1 species